GUCUUAGUAGUAUAAACUCAAUACUUUGGUCUUGUAAACCAAAAAUGGGGAUGAUUUCCCCCAAAGAUA
rnacentral:tRNA from 1 species